rnacentral:lncRNA from 1 species
GCGGUAUGGUAGAACCGAAUCGAAAAAGAACCACAUGACACUAGGAGGCUUCAGAGCUUGUAAGUUUAACCAACAUGGUGAGAAUACAAAGGCCAUUGAAAUUCUGGUGUAGUCAGAAUUCAGAUGUUCUACUCCAAGUCAUGACAUCUGAUCCAACAUUGUCACUAAUACAGCAAGACAGUUAUACAAUUUAAACCCUGUACUAAUAUACACAGGUACACAGAUGUCACGACAUCUGCUUCUAUGUCACCCUAGAAUGGAGGAACA